rnacentral:rRNA from 1 species
CUACCGGGGGGCUGCAGUGGGGAAUCUUGCACAAUGGAGGAAACUCUGAUGCAGCGAUGCCGCGUGAGUGAAGAAGGCCCUUGGGUUGUAAAGCUCUUUUGUCGGGAAAGAUAAUGACUGUACCCGAAGAAUAAGGUCCGGCUAACUUCGUGCCAGCAGCCGCGGUAAUACGAAGGGACCUAGCGUAAUUCGGAAUUACUGGGCGUAAAGCGCGCGUAGGCGGUUAAGUAAGUUAAUUGUGAAAGCCCAAAGCUCAACUUUGGAAUUGCAAUUAAAACUACUUAGCUAGGGUUUAUCAGAGGAAAGCGGAAUACAUAGUGUAGAGGUGAAAUUCGUAGAUAUUAUGUAGAACACCAGUUGCGAAGGCGGCUUUCUGGGAUAACACUGACGCUGAGGUGCGAAAGUAUGGGUAGCGAAGAGGAUUAGAUACCCGGGUAGUC